CAGCUGUGCUCUUUCUCUUUCAGUGAGGUUUGAGGUUCGAGGUCCAGCUGCUCCUGUGAUUGUGUCCCCUGGUGAAGACGCUGUCCUGCCCUGUUACCUCUCACCAGACAUCAGUGCUGCAGACCUACAGAUCAGGUGGUUUAGAGAGGAUUACACAGCCCCGGUGUGUUUAUAUAAAUCAGGCCAGUAUAACCUUGUGAGACAGAACCCAGCCUACAGGGACAGGGCUGGUCUAUUCCUGCAGGAGCUCCACAGAGGCAAUGUGUCUUUAACACUGAGAGAUGUGAGACGCUCUGACCAUGGACAGUACACAUGCUUGGUUGUUUCGGAACAGAUGGAUGAUGAAGCUGUUAUUGACCUUGGUGUGAGAGCCCUGGGCUCCCAGCCCUCAGUGUCUCUCCACUCCCCUGGAGGAGAUCAGGCCCAGCUGCUGUGCAGAUCAGAGGGCUGGUUCCCUCAACCUGCAGUGAUCUGGACAGACAGGGAUGGAAACGAGGUGACAUCACAGCCCCCC